rnacentral:rRNA from 1 species
CUUUCCCUCUGGCGGCAGGCCUAACACAUGCAAGUCGAACGGUAACAGGAAGAAGCUUGCUUCUUUGCUGACGAGUGGCGGACGGGUGAGUAAUGUCUGGGAAACUGCCUGAUGGAGGGGGAUAACUACUGGAAACGGUAGCUAAUACCGCAUAACGUCGCAAGACCAAAGAGGGGGACCUUCGGGCCUCUUGCCCUCGGAUGUGCCCAGAUGGGAUUAGCUAGUAGGUGGGGUAACGGCUCACCUAGGCGACGAUCCCUAGCUGGUCUGAGAGGAUGACCAGCCACACUGGAACUGAGACACGGUCCAGACUCCUACGGGAGGCAGCAGUGGGGAAUAUUGCACAAUGGGCGCAAGCCUGAUGCAGCCAUGCCGCGUGUAUGAAGAAGGCCUUCGGGUUGUAAAGUACUUUCAGCGGGGAGGAAGGGAGUAAAGUUAAUACCUUGGCUCAUUGACGUUACCCGCAGAAGAAGCACCGGCUAACUCCGUG